GCUUAAAAAAACUUUAAUAAGUUUGUCAGACGUUUCGCCGAUUAGGGAUUGUGUCACUGAUGAAGCCCUAAUCGGCGAAACGUCUUACAAACUUAUUAAAGUUUU